rnacentral:rRNA from 1 species
AGAACGAACGCUGGCGGCAUGCCUAACACAUGCAAGUCGAACGAGACCUUCGGGUCUAGUGGCGCACGGGUGCGUAACGCGUGGGAAUCUGCCCUUAGGUACGGAAUAACAGUGAGAAAUUACUGCUAAUACCGUAUGAUGUCUUCGGACCAAAGAUUUAUCGCCUAGGGAUGAGCCCGCGUUGGAUUAGCUAGUUGGUGGGGUAAAGGCCUACCAAGGCGACGAUCCAUAGCUGGUCUGAGAGGAUGAUCAGCCACACUGGGACUGAGACACGGCCCAGACUCCUACGGGAGGCAGCAGUGGGGAAUAUUGGACAAUGGGCGAAAGCCUGAUCCAGCAAUGCCGCGUGAGUGAAGAAGGCCUUCGGGUUGUAAAGCUCUUUUACCCGGAAGAUAAUGACUGUACCGGGAGAUAAGCCCGGCUAACUCCGCGCCAGCAGCCGC